GUUUUUCCUUUUCAUGUCAAAAAAGGGAUAUACGAUUUUUUUUAAAUGCUUUGAUUUUCGUUUUAUAUUUAGAAUAACAAGAAAGUAAAAUCAGUAAGAGACAGAAACGAAAAAAGGUCCGAUUUUUCAUUUUCUGAGACCGGAAGUGGUCAUCAGCAAGUGUGGAGCCAAACGACAACAAGAUUCUCGGAGGGCGGAGCCAGAGAGCAGUGAUUGGUCAGACCAUAGAUAAUAUAGAAGACAGCGCGCUAGCGUAUCUAGUCUAUGUGUAUCUAUGGUCGGCACGUCUGGUAGCAUCUCUGGCUGCUGUUGAUCUUGUUUUUGGAGUAAAACACGGUGGAAGCUGAAUUAGUGAGGAUGACUCCUGCUCCUGUCAUCUCUAAGCUCCUCACACAUCUUUACCUGCACAUGAGGAAAAUCACUCCUGUAGAAUGCAGUGGUUCAUCAGAACCUCUGGGGAUGUCCUGUGGAUUCUGUGGAUCCUGUGGGUUGCAGGGUGGGUCCUACCUAGACCAGGCUGAUCCUGGACCAUCCCACAGAUGCUCCAUCAGAUCUGGAUGUGGGGAGUGUGGAACCCAGAUGUUCAGAUGGAGAUGAUGCCACAUCUGGUCCAGCUGAUGGAAGGUCUUGAAGUUCUCUGACUGGCCUCGACUGAAGAUGGUCGUCUCACUGGAUUUAAGGUUCAGAUGCUCAGUAACAAACUCCACCAAUGAGCCAACAGGGAAGCUUUAGGUUUAUUAAAUGUUGCUAUGAAGGUUUCGCUGUUUUUCUUUGUGAAUGCAAUGUGCUCCAACUGAAACUUGAAUUAGAACUUAGAAGUAAAUCCUUCCAUCUGAAAGGAUUUAGUUGCAUUAAUAACCUCAUAACAUUCUAAUUUUUAUUCCAGUCUUGGUUGGAAAUAGAAUCUCUGUAUUGAUUCAGGUAAAAACUGAACUUCACAGCAUGUUGGAGCAAAACAACCAGAUGAAAACUGUGAUGGUGUUGGAUUGUCAGACCGUAAUGUUGCAGCUCAAAGCAGCUUUUCUAGCUCAGUUCAUUCUGACAUUCAGCUAUGAAUCAACACAGCAGAUGGUGAUCCAUGCUGUGGAAGUCUCACAUCUCCCGAUUUAAUGGAGCUGCUUUGCACUUUUUAUUCACCAACACUUUAUUUAAUAAAAGUCCCAUCUAGUUUUUAUGAGGAAUGUGAUGUUUUAAUUUCUCUGUGAAUAACUGCAGUCUAAUGCAACAGCUGGAGUUGUAACAUCUGUCCUGAUAUUGAUCAUGAAGUAUUGAUCAGAAUACUUAUGGUUAGCAGUCAUCCCUGAAGUUUUACAUUAAAAUCUUUACUUGUGUUGUGAACUUUGGUAAGAAGCAGAAACUUUUGCGUUGCCAUGGAUACAUGAGUGUUAAAUUCUGUCCAUGUUUCCAUUUUGGGAAAUGCAGUCCAGUUCCAGAAUGUGGAGGAAUUUAGUCUCACAAUCACAGACAACAAAUAUUAUCUGAAAGUUGGGUUAUUGUUGUUUAUCAGCACAAUACAAAGAUUGUUAGAAAUAUUCCAGUUAAGACUCUAGAAUAUCAUGAUUUAUGUAAAUUUACCUCAGUAAUAUGAAUGUUCAGGUUAAGAUUGUACAGUGAUAUUUAUUAUGUAAGUUUAGCUGAUUAAAGUUUAUGACUCUGCACUAAAAUAUUAUUUAAAUUGACAUCAUUAUUAUAAUAUUUAGGGUCAGACCCUACAGUAUUGAGAUUAAGAAAUCAAAUAUUCUAUAAAAUGUAAAUACACUGAACUCAUUUGGAUAUAUUUAAGUGAGACUCUACAAUAUUAUUUGACACAAAUCUGUCUAAAUCAAGAUUUUAAUAAUUUUCAUGCCAAACAUUUACUGGACUGAUUUAAAUAUUAAAAUCACUCCUUUCUAAUCCUCUGCUGUACGUUCAAACUUGAGGCCUUAAAUAGAAGCACACAAGUAUCUGUUUGAAGGAACUUCUGCAGAGUCCUGGUUCUAGAACAUGAUGAUAGAAUUAUAGACAAACUUUAACAAAAGCUGCCUGAGAGUUUACAGGUUUUUAUGUUGGAUUUCUUCAGUAAUUUAAUGAGUUAUCAGCAAUAAUCAAGUGUUUAUUUGAUGAACUUCAUUUCCUAAAACAUCCAGAAUUGGAGCUCAUAUCUUUGGCAGCUGUAAAGUUUCUGCUCCUUCAAAGUUCACAACACAAUGAAUGAAUUCCUAAAACACUCUCAAUGCUGGAGAGCGUUUGUGAUGCUGAAGCAGUGACCAGUUUUUCUGUUUCUUCUCUGGAGAUGCACAAUGAGGGACGUCUGCAGCGACUGAGAAAGAGUCUCACCACAUCCUGACAUGAGGAAAAAGACUUUAUUGAAGACUACAAUGAGAAAAACUAUCAGACAGCAGACGGCUGCAUUCAAGAAGACCAUCAAACAUCCACGUCAGCUGAUGGAGGUCCAAGAGUCUCACCCAACAAACAACCUACAGAGUGAAGACCUCAAAUCUGAUUGGACGGCCUCCUAUUCAGCCAUAUGUGUGAACAAAUGCCUCUAAGCUGAUUUGUUUUCUAAAAUAAAUCUAGUUUGAGUCCUAAUCUAUGCCUAUGUGUUUGCUUCUUUACACCGCUGUUAACAGUUUAGACUGUUAGGUUGUUCCAGAUAAGACAAGUACAAGAUACUUCAGAGCCGUUCUACCACGAGCCUGACAGGAAGAACUCCAACAGUUACUGAAUGUUCCUGUGGUCCCCUCAAGGCUACAGGAGGAGCCCUACGAGGACGAGCCGGUACACCUGAUGGCGGCCAGUCGCUGUGGUUCAAAGCCAACACCGACUACGUGGACUUCUACUGGACCACAUGGAGACCUUCAAACCGGACCAACAAGUUCAGCGACUUCCCCGACUCGUGGGUCUGAGAACGCCGCCGAGCCUCGGUCCAGCCGGCCUCCUGUCUGUGGGUGUUUGAGUGCUGAGAGGUUUGUGGAUGCAUGUGAACGUUCUGUGUUGAAACAGCAGCUUUUGACUCAGUAACGCCAGGAAAAACCAAGAGCUCCUUUAUUUGUGACUUCCACUGAAAAACUGAUGAAAAUAAGUUUGCAAGGGUUCUGACUGAUAACAGAUUAUUAAAUAAUGAAAAUAACAGUUUAAAUAUUCCUUUAAACAAUCCUUUUAGGUCUACAUUUCCUUUACACUGACUUCUUGGUAUAUGUACAAGUAUUUUGAGUGGAAUAUACCAUUAAGCCCAAUGUUCAAGGGUUCUUCUGGGAAUAUACCAUUAAACCAACCUUUUAGGUAAAUGUUGCAGGAUGUUGAGUAGAAUAUACCAUCAGAUCAACCUUUUAGGUCUACAUUGUAAGAUUUUAGAGUAGAAUAUUACUCCAAACCAUCCUUUAGGUCUACAUUUAAGGAUUUAAGGACAUUCAAAUAUUUAAGGUGGAAUAUUCCUUUAAACCAACCUAAAUUUCAUGUUUUGAUCAUUAUCAAGUGAGAAACCUCAAUCCAGACUCCUCAUAAUGACGUUUGAGAUUUAUGCUGCCGUUAUUUUUUUAGUCCAGACUAAAUGACAGAAAUCCACAACUGUAAUUUUAUUUCAGGACUUGGUUAUUAAAUGUCAGAACAAUCCAUGUGACUCUAAAAACUCAACAGCUUCACAAACUCUAAGAUUAAAUUCUCCACAAGGAUCCAAAAUAAGUUGGACUUCUAUAUGAGAGCUUUAAUUAUUCUUCAUCUACUUCCUGAAAAGUUUGGUCAAUAAAAAAGACAAAAACUAAUAUUUUCAGCUGAACUAAAGACAGACUUUGUGAUUUUUCUGCUCACAUGUUGUGUUGUUGUAAACUUACUCUUUCAAAUAAAUACCUGCCUAACCCCCUGGAAACCAGCGUUUGUCCUGUUUUUGUGUUGCUCCUCGGCGACCCUAGACAGCCGGGUC
ensembl:lncRNA